rnacentral:rRNA from 1 species
GACGAACGCUGGCGGCGUGCUUAACACAUGCAAGUCGAACGGAAAGGCCCUGCUUUUGUGGGGUGCUCGAGUGGCGAACGGGUGAGUAACACGUGAGUAACCUGCCCUUGACUUUGGGAUAACUUCAGGAAACUGGGGCUAAUACCGGAUAGGAGCUCCUGCUGCAUGGUGGGGGGUGGAAAGUUUCGGCGGUUGGGGCUGGACUCGCGGCUUAUCAGCUUGUUUGUGGGGUAGUGGCUUACCAAGGCUUUGACGGGUAGCCGGCCUGAGAGGGUGACCGGCCACAUUGGGACUGAGAUACGGCCCAGACUCCUACGGGAGGCAGCAGGGGGGAAUAUUACACAAUGGGCGGGAGCCUGAUGCAGCAGCGCCGCGUGCGGGAUGACGGCCUUCGGGUUGUAAACCGCUUUCGCCUGUGACGAAGCGUGAGUGACGGUAAUGGGUAAAGAAGCACCGGCUAACUACGUG